UUGUGUGGCUGCAGGGAGUCCCUAGGGUGGCCCCCAGGGUCUGCCAGUCAAGCAAAACCCCGCUGACAAUCACUUCCACCCUCCUAGAGGAGAGGGAAGUGAUCUCCAUUUCUUCCUACUUUCUUUCAUCCCUCUCGCUCUGCGACACGCUCAGCCUUUCAAACGCUCGACUGCCCUUCAGAAGACUGUUAAGGCAUGCCAGUCACAGGGCAGAGCAAGAGAGAGAGAGAGAGAGAGAGAGGAGGGUGUUUAGGGAAGAUGGACGUUUUUAUAUGCAUUGGGCCCUCGGUGCUCCAUAUGCCUCUUGCUGUCUGAUACGUAUUUUUCAGUGGUGGAGUUUGGAGCAGGCCACUAACUCAGGCCAAGGGAACGAGGCUCAGUGAAGGAGUAGAUGGGGGUGAAUUAGGGCGGCAGACUCGAAGCCCAGGCCUGCACCCUGAAUGCGGCUGGUGCACCACCACGGCGUGCUCCUCGGUCAGACAGGCCGCACUCCAUCCUUGGGUCCCCUACAUGAUAUUCACCAACACCCAGGGCAGCCGUUGCUGUCAGAAAAAAGCACACAUCAGUCGAGCACAGCUGCAUCGUCAACCUCGCCUUUGACUGGUUUCACCUAGAUUACUGCUUCCAUCAAGGUUCAGAGAUUAGUCAUUUAUGACAGACUGUUUUGCCUUUGUGGCCUGUUUUGUCGGUGCUCUAUCGUUCAACAGAGCUCUGCUGCCCUCUUUUGAGCUCAAGAAAAAGUUUUCUAUACAGAUAAUGAAAAAUGGUCAGAUUUACUUCAGAUUAAAUUAAACCAAAAAUCUAGGUUUUUUUGGAAUAAGUUGUUGUUUGGCAAACAAAUAUAAAUGAAACAAAAUGCUAUGCAACAAAUUGUUGUCUGCACCUUGAUCAAUCCACUUGU